rnacentral:rRNA from 1 species
UACAGAGGGGGCAAGCGUUGUUCGGAAUUACUGGGCGUAAAGGGCGCGUAGGCGGCCUGUUAAGUCGAACGUGAAAUCCCCGGGCUCAACCCGGGAACUGCGUCCGAUACUGGCAGGCUUGAAUCCGGGAGAGGGACGCGGAAUUCCAGGUGUAGCGGUGAAAUGCGUAGAUAUCUGGAGGAACACCGGUGGCGAAGGCGGCAUCCUGGACCGGCAUUGACGCUGAGGCGCGAAAGCCAGGGGAGCAAACGGG